rnacentral:rRNA from 1 species
GCCCAACCGUAAACUUUUAAUUACAUCUUAAUCGCCAGGGAACUACGAGCCAAGCUUAAAACCCAAAGGACUUGACGGUACCCCAUAUCCCCCUAGAGGAGCCUGUCCUAUAAUCGAUAAUCCUCGUUUAACCUCACCAUUUUUAGUUAUCAGCCUGUAUACCUCCGUCGUCAGCUUACCACGUGAGCGCAAAUUAGUGAGCCUAAUGUUUUUCACCAAUACGUCAGGUCAAGGUGCAGUAAAUGAAAUGGAAAGAGAUGGGCUACACUUUCUAUUUUAGAAGAAACGAAAAACUACCUAUGAAACCUAGUUGGAAGGCGGAUUUAGCAGUAAAAGGGAAUCAGAAUAUCCAUUUUAACCCGGCACUGGGGUGUGUACACACCGCCCGUCACCCUCUUCAGAGCUACAACAAGUAUCAACUCACCUAAGCAUAAUAGAAGAGGCAAGUCGUAACAUGGUAAGUAUACCGGAAGGUGUGCUUGGAAA